UUACAGAAAGCGUGUGUGUGCUA
rnacentral:miRNA from 1 species